CUAGCAAAAUUGUUGGCAGCGUGCUCAUUACCGCUAAAAAGCUGUUCGGAGUGGGAAAGCUAGUGAUACGUGCUUCUGCGGAUUUCUCUUUGGGUUUUUUUUCAUGUGUGUGGCGGAGGCUACUGCGUUGCGACUAGGCUGCCUUAUUUUUUUUAUUUUUUUAUUUUUUUUUGUUUCCCGGUUGUGUUGCGGAGCCCGUGACCUCUAGCUGGUUGCUGCUAGACGUUUUAUUUUUAUUUUUAUUUUUUCGUUUUUUUUCCACUCUUAUCUAAAUUGUUCGGUUGGCGGUCCAGUCCGGUGGGCAAAGGCGCUGGCAUCGUGUAUUGACUUAGGGUGGCAUUCUUACAAUUUGGCACUUUACGUUGCGGCUGUCGAGAACCGUUGCGGCUCUUCUUCUUUUUCUUGUUUGGCUGGCAGCGGUGGAAGUUCUUGCGAUUGACAGUACACUGGAACAUUGAUUCGGCAACCUUGAGCUUAGGUUGCCGAGUUGGAGUAUAUGCUGACCGUAGCAAGAACGAUCUUCUAGCAUACGUUUUGAUUGAGCUGAGUACAAGAGCUGAGUACAAGAAGUGUCUGUCAAGAUCAUAGUUCCAUCAUCGACAAUAACUUUGGGUCGCAUUUUAUCCAGCCUCUCUGUUAGCCGCAUUCACAUUUUCCCAGUUGAUGGUGGUUGAGAUCAGCUUCUAGGGCGAAGUUUGGAAGGAAUCCAGAUAGAAUUGCUAUAAUCAGAAAAUGUAACAAGAUCAGGAGGGAGACAAAACCAACCUCAACAUUUAAUAUACCACUCCAUCUUCAUUCACAUAGGGUGUCGCGACUUCCUCGGAAUGCCCUUGUGGUCGUCACUCAUCCCAUUCAAUAUUUGGACAUUUAUGCAUAACUAAAGUUUACCCUUUCCCCUGAGCAUGUCUCCGGGCUGGAUUUUGCCUUAAGACGUGGCCGUCCAGUCUAUCCUCGUAAUUAGGCAAUUCCCUCUCUUAGUGAAGAAUUGAAGGACAAAGAAUUGACUGUGGAGAAUUAGACUGCCUAGAAUCGUUGUGUUGUUGCGGCGGAAGUACUUACGCAAUUCAGUGCAGAUCAAGGAGUGAGGCAAUGGCUCCUAAUUGUUUUGGAUUCUGUUGGCACAAUUUAGAGGGUUGUGCGGGACUCAAGCAACCGUUAUCACGAUUACCAUGUAGCAAAGUGUGUUCUCGUUGAGGGAGGCUAGCUGUGCUUACGGAAAGACUCAAGGGACCCUCGGCAUUGUGUACGAGCUGUGAAGGUUCUCUCAAGAGGAUAUCAACAGUCUUCAUCGUCAAUCACUAUCUUAAUGAGCAGGAUUCGAGGUGUAAGCGAGCUUGGGAAGCUGCCAAAAGCUGCAUGAAUGCGUAGCACUGAUUAUUGAUGAUUUGGAACACAUUAUUUCCACAAAAGUGAUAUUCUACUGCAGAACUUCAAUAGGUCGACUCCCUCCUAGUGGCAGAGGGUGCAAUUCCAAUCUUCUCCACAAUUUGGGAUCUAGAAGAUCGAAAGCCGGCACCUAGCAGCUACCAAAAGGAAUUUGUAAGAGUGAAUUAAAUUGGAUUAAGUAAGAGCUGUAACUUAUCAACCUUGUAUAAUAAAUGCACUUGUUGUGAGCUAUGAUAAACUCCAAUUAGUGGAGGAUUAUUUUACUUCAUACAUAGGUGAUUUAAAGAGGUUAAGAGUGAUUCAAUUAAGAAUCAAAUAAGAUUUAACAUUUCUAAGAAUUCCAUAGUUAAUUCAUUUGUUAUAAACUAAAAUAACCUUCCAACUAGUGGAGGUUUAUUUUAGCUCAUAUUUUGGUGCAUUUGCUAUGAAAGGUAUCCUAUAA